GCAUUGAUGGUUCAGUGGUAGAAUUCUUGCCUUCUAUGUAGGAGAGCUGGGUUCAAUUCCUGGCCAAAUCA
rnacentral:tRNA from 1 species